CCUUUUGCUUACUUCCUAGUCCCGGGCAGGCCGGCUCGGAGGCAGCGAGAAAGCGCAGCCAGGCGGCUGCUCGGCGUUCUCUCAGGUGACUGCUCGGAGUUCUCCCAGAUCCAAAGGAGACCUAUAGUGACUCCCAGGAGCUCUUAGUGACCAAGUGAAGGUACCUGUGGGGCUCAUUGUGCCCAUUGCUCUUUCACUGCUUUCAACUGGUAGUUGUGGGUAAGUUCCU
rnacentral:lncRNA from 10 species